AGUGAACGCUGGCGGUAGGCCUAACACAUGCAAGUCGAACGGCAGCACAGUAAGAGCUUGCUCUUACGGGUGGCGAGUGGCGGACGGGUGAGGAAUACAUCGGAAUCUAAUUUUUCGUGGGGGAUAACGUAGGGAAACUUACGCUAAUACCGCAUACGACCUACGGGUGAAAGCAGGGGAUAUUCGGACCUUGCGCGAUUGAAUGAGCCGAUGUCGGAUUAGCUAGUUGGCGGGGUAAAGGCACACCAAGGCGACGAUACGUAGCUGGUCUGAGAGGAUGAUCAGCCCCACUGGAACUGAGACACGGUCCAGACUCCUACGGGAGGCAGCAGUGGGGAAUAUUCGACAAUGGGCGCAAGCCUGAUCCAGCCAUACCGCGUGAGUGAAGAAGGCCUUCGGGUUGUAAAGCCCUUUUGUUGGGAAAGAAAAUCAGCAUAUUUAUACCCCGAUGUUCUGACGGUACCCAAACAAUAAGCACCGGCUAACUUCGUG
rnacentral:rRNA from 1 species